rnacentral:rRNA from 1 species
UACGUAGGGGGCUAGCGUUGUCCGGAAUCAUUGGGCGUAAAGCGCGCGUAGGCGGCCCGGUAAGUCCGCUGUAAAAGUCAAAGGCUCAACCUUUGAAUGUCAGUGGAUACUGCCGGGCUAGAGUCCGGAAGAGGCGAGCGGAAUUCCUGGUGUAGCGGUGGAAUGCGCAGAUAUCAGGAGGAACACCAACGGCGAAGGCAGCUCGCUGGGACGGUACUGACGCUGAGGCGCGAAAGCGUGGGGAGCGAACAGG